rnacentral:miRNA from 1 species
UUCAUUGCGAUUGGUUGGACUAG